rnacentral:rRNA from 1 species
GCUAAGAAUAUUCCGCAAUGGAGGAAACUCUGACGGAGCGACGCCGCGUGGAUGAUGAAGGCCGGAAGGUUGUAAAAUCCUUUUGAGUGUGAUGAAUAAAGCUUACAGGAAAUGGUAAGAAGAUGACCGUAGCACUUGAAUAAGGGGCGGCUAAUUACGUGCCAGCAGCCGCGGUAACACGUAAGCCCCGAGCGUUGUUCGGAAUUAUUGGGCGUAAAGGGCAUGUAGGCGGUUGUGCAAGCUUGGUGUGAAAUGCCGGGGCUUAACUCCGGCACUGCGUUGAGAACUGCACGACUAGAGUAACUGAGGGGCAGCCGGAAUUCCAGGUGUAGGGGUGAAAUCUGUAGAUAUCUGGAAGAACACCAAUGGCGAAGGCAGGCUACCAGCAGAUUACUGACGCUGAGGUGCGAAGGUGCGGGGAGCAAACAGG